ACGGGGUGCAGCAGGCGCGAAACCUUUGCAAUGUGCGAAAGCACGACAAGGUUAAUCCGAGUGUCUCCCGCUAAGGGAGUCUUUUGUCAGUUCUAGAACCACUGGUGAAUAAGGGGUGGGCAAGUUCUGGUGUCAGCCGCCGCGGUAAAACCAGCACCUCGAGUGGUCAGGAGGUUUAUUGGGCCUAAAGCAUCCGUAGCCGGUUGCAUAAGUUUUCGGUUAAAUCUAUGCGCUUAACGUAUAGGCCGCCGAAAAUACUGUGCAGCUAGGGAGUGGGAGAGGUACACGGUACUCGAUAGGAAGGGGUAAAAUCCUUUGAUCUAUUGAUGACCACCUGUGGCGAAGGCGGUGUACCAGAACACGUUCGACGGUGAGGGAUGAAAGCUGGGGGAGCAAACCGGAUUAGAUACCCGGGUAGUCCCAGCUGUAAACUAUGCAAACUCAGUGAUGCAUUGGCUUGUGGCCAAUGCAGUGCUGCAGGGAAGCCGUUAAGUUUGCCGCCUGGGAAGUACGUACGCAAGUAUGAAACUUAAAGGAAUUGGCGGGGGAGCAC
rnacentral:rRNA from 2 species